rnacentral:misc_RNA from 1 species
UCUCGGGCCCCCUCGAUGCUCGAGUGUCCGCGGGGCCCGAAG